rnacentral:rRNA from 1 species
AACGAACGCUGGCGGCAUGCCUAACACAUGCAAGUCGAACGAGACCUUCGGGUCUAGUGGCGCACGGGUGCGUAACGCGUGGGAAUCUGCCCUUGGGUUCGGAAUAACAGUUAGAAAUGACUGCUAAAUACCGGAUAAUGUCUUCGGACCAAAGAUUUAUCGCCCAGGGAUGAGCCCGCGUAGGAUUAGCUAGUUGGUGAGGUAAAGGCUCACCCAAGGCGACGAUCCUUAGCUGGUCUGAGAGGAUGAUCAGCCACACUGGGACUGAGACACGGCCCAGACUCCUACGGGAGGCAGCAGUGGGGAAUAUUGGACAAUGGGCGAAGCCUGAUCCAGCAAUGCCGCGUGAGUGAUG